GGUCUGUGCAUUGAAUUCGGUGGAUGUGCACCUUGAAAGAAACUAUAUACGUGGUUCUCAUCUUCUUCCGACUUACUGACAGGUGUAUAGCUGCAUGGUCUAGACGAGAGAAUCCAAUGACGGCUGGAAUGAAUGCCUAGCUCGUACACUUAACAAUGUGCAUUCACACAGGUUCCCGACUUCUAGACGGUCUGAGAAUUCUAAGCACAGAUUGCAAUGUGCAAAGAUUUAAAACACACCUUAGGCGAUGCAGGUAAAUAGACAAGGGUGCAAAAUUGCAAACCUGUGGUUGUUAAAUUACUCUCUGUCUAGCUGGUUGCAAAUUUAUAUAUAUAUAUAUGGUUGCAAAAUCAUCAGAUUGUAAAGUUUGCAAA